ensembl:lncRNA
UGUCGUUCUGCCCCUGAACAGGCAGUUAACCCACUGUUCCCAGGCCGUCAUUGAAAAUAAGAAUGUGUUCUUAACUGACUUGCCUGCUUAAAUAAAGGUUAAAAAAAGAUAUACUCAAAUAUUUACAAAAAUGUGAGGGAUGUACUCACUUUUGUGAUAUACUGUAUAUCUUCAAAUGUGGGGAGGGGGGGACUACUUACAAAGUAAUUUCAUUUCUAAAUGGUAAAACAGAUAUGUAUGAAUAUACCCUCAAAUAAAAGGUGACAUUUUGCACUCUCACCUCAUCUGAAACAUUUGAUCUCAAAUCCCAAAUGCUGGAGUAUAGGGACAAAUGUACAGAUUAUUUAGAUUCACUGUCCAAAUAAAUACGUAAGGAAGUGUGCGUCUUAAGACCAGACAUGUUUGUGACAUCACUGAAGGGGAGAGAGGGGACCACUGGGUAACCAGGCAUUCAGUGUGAGCAUUAUACAGCAUACAGUAUACACUCACCCAAAACAACUACUAAACAGAAGGGAACACUAACAGAGAAUUCUUUAAGAGCAUAAUAUUACUGCUAUGCCUUUGUCCCAUUAUCAUAGAGAGGAGCUUCUGAUGGAAACAGAGAGAGAGAGAGAGCCCCAGGACCUGAUGAAAGGCAUGGAUUACGGGCCAGAGUAUCUGCUCACCCAACUGCAUCCAAGACAGCUUUAGUCUCAUAAUCCACCCUGCACACAGAACAAAUCCACGGCAUCAAGCUGAAAUUUAGGCCCAAUGGGGCGGCAGGGUAGCCUAGUGGUUAGAGCAUUGGACUAGCAGCCAAAGUGGUUGAAAGUUCAAAUCCCUGAGCUGACAAGGUACAAAUCUGUCAUUCUGCCCCUGAACAGGCAGUUUACCCACUGUUCCUAGGCCAUCAUUGAAAAUAAGAAUUUGUUCUUAACUGACUUGCCUAGUUAAAUAAAAUAAAAAAUACUGUCAGAGAAAAAUCUACCAUUUUAUCACAGCACACUUUUCAUUUGGACCAUCUUCCCCUUUAAUAUCGGAUUUCUGUGUAAGUCUUCUGGAGACAACCUAGCAGCCUCUUGGGCCCUUACCCAUCUGCAUGAUAUUUUAAAGUGUGUGUGAACUAACUGACUGACCCCUCUGUCUUAUGGUUGUUUGCUCAACAGUCGGUGAUCUUUUCCUGUGUGUUCAUAACUCCGGCAGUUAUUCUGUGAAGUUAAACAUUCAAAGUGUACAAACAUCAGGCAGGCAGAAAAAAUGCAUUAUUUGUUUUCAGACCUAUGUUUGUGUCGUUAUUGCCUCUGUGAAAGAAAAGGUGUAAUGUCUCACUUGUUUUGUGUUACUGAACCAAAGCUCUCAACAAAUUUUAUUUUUGUACA